rnacentral:rRNA from 1 species
CUAGUAAUCGUAGGUCAGCAUACUACGGUGAAUACGUUCCCGGGCCUUGUACACACCGCCCGUCACACCAUGGGAGCUGGUAACACCCGAAGUCAGUAGUCUAACCGCAAGGAGGACGCUGCCGAAGGUGGGAUUAGCGACUGGGGUGAAGUCGUAACAAGGUAGC